rnacentral:tRNA from 1 species
GGUUUGUGGCUCAGUGGUUGAGCACUUACCUAGUGUGUGUGAGGCACUGUGUUCGAUUCCCAGCAUUG